GACGAACGCUGGCGGCGUGCUUAACACAUGCAAGUCGAACGGAGCUAUUUAUUUCGGUAGAUAGCUUAGUGGCAAACGGGUGAGUAACGCGUAGGCAACCUGCCCUCAGGAUGGGGACAACGGCUCGAAAGAGCCGCUAAUACCGAAUGACGUAACUCUUCCACAUGGAAGAGAUACUAAAGAUGGGUCAAACCAUCGCCUAAGGAUGGGCCUGCGUCUGAUUAGCCAGUUGGUGAGGUAACGGCUCACCAAAGCGACGAUCAGUAGCCGGUCUGAGAGGAUGAACGGCCACAAUGGGACUGAGACACGGCCCAUACUCCUACGGGAGGCAGCAGUGGGGAAUCUUCCGCAAUGGGCGAAAGCCUGACGGAGCAACGCCGCGUGAGUGAAGAAGGUCUUCGGAUCGUAAAGCUCUGUUGUCGGGGACGAAAGAGUAGACGAGGAAAUGCGUCUACUAAGACG
rnacentral:rRNA from 1 species